rnacentral:rRNA from 1 species
GAUGAACGCUGGCGGCGUGCCUAAUACAUGCAAGUCGAGCGAACAGACGAGGAGCUUGCUCCUCUGACGUUAGCGGCGGACGGGUGAGUAACACGUGGAUAACCUACCUAUAAGACUGGGAUAACUUCGGGAAACCGGAGCUAAUACCGGAUAAUAUAUUGAACCGCAUGGUUCAAUAGUGAAAGACGGUUUUGCUGUCACUUAUAGAUGGAUCCGCGCCGCAUUAGCUAGUUGGUAGGUAACGGCUUACCAAGGCGACGAUGCGUAGCCGACCUGAGAGGGUGAUCGGCCACACUGGAACUGAGACACGGUCCAGACUCCUACGGGAGGCAGCAGUAGGGAAUCUUCCGCAAUGGGCGAAAGCCUGACGGAGCAACGCCGCGUGAGUGAUGAAGGUCUUCGGAUCGUAAAACUCUGUUAUUAGGGAAGAACAAAUGUGUAAGUAACUAUGCACGUCUUGACGGUACCUAAUCAGAAAGCCACGGCUAACUACGUG